AGAGUUUGAUCAUGGCUCAGGAUGAACGCUGGCGGCGUGCCUAACACAUGCAAGUCGAGCGAUUCUCUUCGGAGAAGAGCGGCGGACGGGUGAGUAACGCGUGGGUAACCUGCCUCAUACACAUGGAUAACAUACCGAAAGGUAUGCUAAUACAAGAUAAUAUAAGAGAUUCGCAUGGAUUUCUUAUCAAAGCUCCGGCGGUAUGAGAUGGACCCGCGUCUGAUUAGCUAGUUGGUAAGGUAACGGCUUACCAAGGCGACGAUCAGUAGCCGACCUGAGAGGGUGAUCGGCCACAUUGGAACUGAGACACGGUCCAAACUCCUACGGGAGGCAGCAGUGGGGAAUAUUGCACAAUGGGCGAAAGCCUGAUGCAGCAACGCCGCGUGAGCGAUGAAGGCCUUCGGGUCGUAAAGCUCUGUCCUCAAGGAAGAUAAUGACGGUACUUGAGGAGGAAGCCCCGGCUAACUACGUGCCAGCAGCCGCGGUAAUACGUAGGGGGCUAGCGUUAUCCGGAUUUACUGGGCGUAAAGGGUGCGUAGGUGGUUUCUUAAGUCAGGAGUGAAAGGCUACGGCUCAACCGUAGUAAGCUCUUGAAACUGGGAAACUUGGGUGCAGGAGAGGAAAGUGGAAUUCCUAGUGUAGCGGUGAAAUGCGUAGAUAUUAGGAGGAACACCAGUAGCGAAGGCGGCUUUCUGGACUGUAACUGACACUGAGGCACGAAAGCGUGGGGAGCAAACAGGAUUAGAUACCCUGGUAGUCCACGCCGUAAACGAUGAGUACUGGGUGUCGGGGGUUACCCCCCUCGGUGCCGCAGCUAACGCAUUAAGUACUCCGCCUGGGGAGUAC
rnacentral:rRNA from 1 species